rnacentral:rRNA from 1 species
UCUUGGAUGUAAAUAGACCAGAGUACUAUGAAUAAUAGAGAAUUUAAAACUCAAAGAACUUGGCGGUGUUUUAGACCACUUAGGGGAACCUGUCUCGUAAUCGACAGUCCACGUUGUACCUGACCUUUUCUUGUUUUCAGUUUGUAUACCGUUGUCGUCAGGUAACUUUUUAGAAAAUAGAAGUUGGCUAUAGAAAUUUAUAAUUUAGUACGUCAAAUCAAGGUGCAGCUAACGAAAAGGGGAGGAUGGGUUACAAUUAUAAAUUAUAAUGACGGAAGGAGGACUUAGAAGUAAAUUGGAGAAAAACAGUUUGAAUGAGGCUCUGAAACGUGU